CGAGCCACGGCCACGGCUUCUGUCCGACCCAUCUCCAUCUCUCAGCCCCUAAUCUCCCUCAUCUCUCCCAAAGAAACCCUAGAUCCCCAAAUCCUCACCGCCUCUUUGCGAUUUCCGGCGACCACGCAGCCAUGGCCGCCGCUGCUUCGACUCCCUCUAGCUCUGGUAGAACAGUAACAAAUCGCCGCCCUUCCCCACAUGGUAAGUAUUAAAUGUUUGACUAUUUUAAAUAUAGAAUUAUUGUUAUUUUAGAAAGAACAAAUUUUGGAAAGAAUUUUAACAAUGGAAACUCAUAACCUAGAUUUUUAGCUAUAAAUUACACGAAUCAUUCAGAAAUUGGUCGCAACUUUUUUUACAGCCAACGCAAGGUAUUGCUGCGUUUAUUUAUAUUUGUUCAUUGCUUAAGUUUUCUUUGUUUUUAAAUAAGUUCUGUUUAUAAUUUCUCUUUUUAUUUCUCCAUAUUGCAGCACCAAAAAUCUAAUAUUUUACCUCAUCGUGUUUUUACAAGCAAUUGCAAGGUACCCUUCUUCUUCUUUUGUUGUGUUUCUGUGAUUCACCUUUUUAUUUCUAUUUUCCAGAUUUUUGGUUUAGAUUUACUUCCCUGUUUUGCCGGUUUAAGUGUUCUGUUAGAUUUCUUGUGAUUUCUGUUAGAUUUCUUGUGAUUUCUUGAAAGCUUUCUUUUGUUGGCUGAUGGCUGUGUUCUGUAUUGAGAUAUGAGAAGUUUUCUGUUGUAAUAUAUUAGUUGUACGUUCUGCACCAGUUUCAAUUCAGAUAGCUUAUAUUAUUAGUUUGGUGAGUGGCAAUUUACUCAUGGAACUCUAGGUAUAAAUGUUAAAAUUUCUGGGAAUAAAAUUGGAGUAUAUAUUUGAUUGUGAAUUUGUGAUGCAACCCUGGGUGAAUAAAACAGAAUAAUAAUGUUAAGUUGUUUCUGUUUUGAUGCACUCAAUACGUAUACCCUGAGUCUAUCUAAUAGAUGUACACUAUGAAUUAAUCGUGUCUGUUUGAGUUGAUUACAGAUAAUAUACAGACCAACGGCGCUUACAACACAAGAGAGGAGAGUUUGAAGAGAGAA
rnacentral:lncRNA from 1 species